rnacentral:lncRNA from 10 species
GCAGGCCUGUCCCUUUGCUUUCUUAAAACUGCGCACCGUCUGAGGCCACUUCGAGCCUACUGGAUCCCUGGUUCCAACCCAGUAGGAUCACAGAAGCAGGGCCAGCUGCCAGGAGAAAAAGUUGUUCUCUUCUACCAAAUUUUCCUGCCAUCAAAUGCUCAUUGAGUGACAAUAGAGAAAGCACCAUCAUCCUGAAGCAUCAGAUUGGGAGAAAAGUCCGCUCUCGAGAGCAUCAACUAUGUAGAAAGGGGACCAGCUUCUGCAAAAGACUUGAGACAGCUCACAAUGAAGUACUCUGUAUUAGGCAGGGUAAUAUUGAUUGCAAGUGACAGAAACCCAAUCAGAAACUCACUGGAGUCAUGAGGAACACUUAUUGGCUCAGAGUAAAGGCAAAAUAGACCUUCAGAGAAAUAAAGUCUGGGAAAUUGACUAGAUCCUCACUGAAAGAACUACUAAAGGAUGUACUUAUGGAAGAAGAAAAUUACAAAGUGAAAGAACUGGGAUGCAAGAAGUAAUGGAAAUGACAAGCUAACUCUAAAGUUCACAGGAAUGAAAAGCACCUAAAAUAGGCAAAUUCAUUUUGAAAAAGAAGAACAAAGUUGGAGGGCUAAGACGACCUGAUUUCAAAGUGCAAGGCUUCAAUAAUCAAGACAGUUUGAUAUUGGCACGAAGAUACACAAAGAGAUAAUGACACAGACAUUAGGUCCAGAAGACAGUCCAGUAAUAGACUUUCACAUAUAUGGACAACAAAUUUUUGACAGUGCCAAGGCAAUUCAGUAGAGAAAGGAUAGUUU